rnacentral:rRNA from 1 species
UACGUAGGGUGCGAGCGUUAAUCGGAAUACUGGGCGUAAAGCGUGCGCAGGCGGUGAGCUGUGUCCGAUGUGAAAGCCCCGGGCUUAACCUGGGAAUGGCAUUGGAAACUGGCUCGCUGGAGUGUGGCAGAGGGGGGUGGAAUUCCGCGUGUAGCAGUGAAAUGCGUAGAGAUGCGGAGGAACACCGAUGGCGAAGGCAGCCCCCUGGGCUAACACUGACGCUCAGGCACGAAAGCGUGGGGAGCAAACAGG